rnacentral:sRNA from 1 species
ACUGUACCACUAACACACAAUGUACAACUGACGUGUGUCAUUACACCAGAUGUAGCUGCCCAGUGGGAACAUCCUACGACUCAUGCAGUGCUAAGUGUACCCCAAGGAAUGAGUAUAUGAUAAGCUCUGUGGAUUUACCCCUUGGAAAUCACUAUGAUUGGUCGUUCAUCGGACCUGUUGGCAGUUAUGUAACUCUUGUAUUGUAUGAUGUCGACUUUAACACCAAUAACUGCCAAAAUAAUUUUAUUCACGUGACCAGCAUGUAUGACACG